UCCAACGACUUCCCGCGGUGCGCACUAA
rnacentral:sRNA from 1 species